rnacentral:misc_RNA from 1 species
UUUUAGAUAUGUUAUUUGAAUGAGCUGAGCCUUUUGAAAUAUAUAUAUGCUUGUAUAGAUUUGGCACCACUUCUUUAAAUUCGACAUAAAGAAGUGCUGACCGGGAUUAUUAUUGAAUCUUUAUUUGUCAAAAUGGUAAGGCAUUAGUUCUGGGUUGUGACUUGCAUUCAUAAAUUAAAAAAUGUCAAUACAUCUCACACUAUCAACCCCAACCCCCCCGGGCCUCUUCUGCUCUCUUCCCUUACUCUUCUUCUUCUUCAAAAAAAAAAAAAAAAAAUCCAUUUGUGUUCAUCCUCUCCUACUACAAACUUCUAUGCUGAUGCCACUAUAGUUAAUGAGUUUAAUUGUUGGGUCGGUAUCUAAUUGUUUUCUAUAUAUUGAUUUCUGAUUG